rnacentral:tRNA from 1 species
GCGCGAGUGGUGAAAUUGGCAGACACGCUAGAUUUAGGCUCUAGUGCUUCACGGCGUAAGGGUUCAAGUCCCUUCUUGCGCACCA